UAAGAAGCAUCCUGUCUUCCAGAUCUCAGAGAUGGAGACAAACACACUCGUGCUAUGGGCACUGCUGCUCUGGGUUCCAGGUUCUGCUGGGGACAUUGUGCUGACCCAGUCUCCAGCUUUGUUGUCUAUGUCACUAGGGCAACAGGUCACCAUCUCCUGCAAGGCCAGCCAGAGUGUCGAUGAUGAUUUUUUUGACAAUAUUUUAAUGAACUGGUACCAACAGAAACCAGGACAGCCACCUAAAUUUCUCAUACAUGAUGCAUCCAACCUAGCAUCUGGGGUCCCUGCCAGGUUCAGUGGCAGUGGGUCUGGGACAGACUUCACCCUCACCAUCAAUCAUGUGGAGGCUGAUGAUGCUGUAACCUAUUACUGUUAG